rnacentral:rRNA from 1 species
AACGAACGCUGGCGGCAGGCCUAACACAUGCAAGUCGAGCGCGCCCUUCGGGGUUAGCGGCGGUCGGGUGAGUAACGCGUGGGAACGUGCCCUUCUCUGCGGAAUAGCCUCGGGAAACUGAGAGUAAUACCGCAUACGCCCAUUGGGGGAAAGAUUUAUCGGAGAAGGAUCGGCCCGUGUUGGUUUAGGUAGUUGGUGGGGUAAUGGCCGACCAAGCCGACGAUGCAUAGCUGGUUUGAGAGGAUGAUCAGCCACGCUGGGACUGAGACACGGCCCAGACUCCUACGGGAAGCAGCAGUGGGGAAUCUUAGACAAUGGGGGCAACCCUGAUCUAGCCAUGCCGCGUGAGUGAUGAAGGCCUUAGGGUUGUAAAGCUCUUUCAGCUGGGAAGAUAAUGACGGUACCAGCAGAAGAAGCCCCGGCUAACUCCGUG